GAUGAAGAACGUAGCAAAUGCGAUAAGUAGUGUGAAUUGCAGAAUUCAGUGAAUCAUCGAAUCUUUGAACGCACAUUGCGCCCUUUGGUAUUCCUUAGGGCAUGCCUGUUCGAGCGUCAUUUAAACCUUCAAGCUCAGCUUGGUGUUGGGUGACUGUCCGCUUCACCGCGGACUCGCCUCAAAAUUAUUGGCGGCCGGUACAUUGGCUUCGAGCGCAGCAGAAACGCGAACUCGGGCCCGUCGUAUUGGCUCCCAGAAGCUAUCUUCACAAUUUUGACCUCGGAUCAGGUAGGGAUACCCGCUGAACUUAAGCAUAUCAAUAAGCGGAGGA
rnacentral:misc_RNA from 1 species